rnacentral:misc_RNA from 1 species
AAACCCUCAAGCACUGCUUGGUGUUGGGCGCUUGUCCCCGCCCCUCGGGGCGGCGGACUCGCCUCAAAAGCAUUGGCGGCCUUUGUCUUGGGCUUCGAGCGCAGCAGACUCGCGCCUCGCGAUCCUCCGGCAGGGGCGUCCAACAAGACGCAUCUCCAA